UUAUGCGCAACUAAUACUGAAAUAUAGAACAAUAAAUUUAUAGUAUUAUCAACUAAAAUGAACAAAAAAAAGAACAAUAAAAUACCAACUAAUAUGUUUUUACAUUGAAACAAAAAAAUUCUUACAUUUAUAUUAACAACUAAAAUUAAUAUAGUUAUAGUAUUAUCUUCAGAACUAGCUUCCAAAAUACAAAGUAUCAUCAAAACAUGACAUCUAUCUAAACCUACUUUGUUAAAAGGGUUAAAAAGAAUACAAAUGAUCCAUCAAUAUGGCAAUACUGUCUACAUUAGUGGAAGUUUUACUACCCCGAAAAAAUAUUAGUCGGCAUUUUUAUUUUGUCUACGGACAUUUAAUUUCAAGUUACCUUCACCUUUUUAUUUCGUUUGAAAUCACUAUUGCCGAAAUAGAACAAUGUGGACACAC
rnacentral:lncRNA from 1 species